CCUACGGGAGGCAGCAGUGGGGAAUAUUGCACAAUGGGGGAAACCCUGAUGCAGCGACGCCGCGUGAGUGAAGAAGUAAUUCGUUAGGUAAAGCUCUAUCAGCAGGGAAGAAAAUGACGGUACCUGAGUAAGAAGCCCCGGCUAACUACGUGCCAGCAGCCGCGGUAAUACGGAGGGGGCAAGCGUUAGCCGGAUUGACUGGGUGGAAAGGGAGCGUAGACGGCAGGGCAAGGAUGGAGUGAAAGGCGGGGGCUCAACCCCCGGACUGCUCUGGAAACUGUCCGGCUGGAGUGCAGGAGAGGUAAGUGCAAUUCCUAGUGUCGCGGUGACAUGCGUAGCUAUUAGGCGGAACACCAGUGGCGACGGCGGCUUACUUGACUGUACCUGACGUUGAGGCUCG
rnacentral:rRNA from 1 species